rnacentral:rRNA from 1 species
AUGAACGCUGGCGGCGUGCCUAAUACAUGCAAGUCGAGCGAACGGACGAGAAGCUUGCUUCUCUGAUGUUAGCGGCGGACGGGUGAGUAACACGUGGAUAACCUACCUAUAAGACUGGGAUAACUUCGGGAAACCGGAGCUAAUACCGGAUAAUAUUUUGAACCGCAUGGUUCAAAAGUGAAAGACGGUCUUGCUGUCACUUAUAGAUGGGUCCGCGCUGCAUUAGCUAGUUGGUAAGGUAACGGCUUACCAAGGCAACGAUGCAUAGCCGACCUGAGAGGGUGAUCGGCCACACUGGAACUGAGACACGGUCCAGACUCCUACGGGAGGCAGCAGUAGGGAAUCUUCCGCAAUGGGCGAAAGCCUGACGGAGCAACGCCGCGUGAGUGAUGAAGGUCUUCGGAUCGUAAAACUCUGUUGUUAGGGAAGAACAUAUGUGUAAGUAACUGUGCACAUCUUGACGGUACCUAAUCAGAAAGCCACGACUAACUACGUG